rnacentral:rRNA from 1 species
AUGCCAAGGCGGCUCCCACCAAUCAUGGCUAUGGCGGCGGCGGCCAUGGAGGAGGGCGGCGGAUCAACUUCUCCGGCGAUGGGGUCCGUGGCGGCGGUGGAUUCCCACUGUCCACUCAAUCUCGCGCUCGAUCUCCUAGCCCUCUCUUCUCCCGCACUCGUUUCCCUGCUGCCUCUCUCAUGUCGUCGCCGCCCCAUCUCCUCUCACACUUCCCGUCGCUGGGCUCGAGCUGCAGAGACGCGCCAAUGCUCGAUCCGAGCAGCGCGGUCCCUUGCUCGUGCCAAAGGUGCCCCUCCUCCUCGGUCCUCACACGAGAUGGUCUGUUGCUCUGCUUUCCCUCAUUGA